GAUGAACGCCGACAGAAUGCUUAACACAUGCAAGUCUACUUGAUUCUACUUCGGUAGUUGAUGGUGGCGGACGGGUGAGUAACGCGUAAAGAAUCUGCCCUUUAGUUUGGGAUAACCUUUGGAAACGAAGGCUAAUACCGGAUAUUAUGGAGACGUCGCAUGGCGACUCCAUGAAAGCUAUAUGCGCUAGAGGAGGACUUUGCGUCCCAUUAGUUAGUUGGUGAGGUAAUGGCUCACCAAGACCGCGAUGGGUAGCCGGCCUGAGAGGGUGAUCGGCCACAAGGGAACUGAGACACGGCCCUUACUCCUACGGGAGGCAGCAGUGGGGAAUAUUGGACAAUGGGCCACAAGCCUGAUCCAGCAAUUCUGUGUGCACGAUGAAGGUCUUCGGAUUGUAAAGUGCUUUCAGUAGGGAAGAAAAAAAUGACGGUACCUACAGAAGAAGCGACGGCUAAAUAUGUGCCAGCAGCCGCCGUAACAC
rnacentral:rRNA from 1 species